CUGCUGCUUCUUCUGUUACAACUCCGUUUCUUAUAGCUGACUUGAUUAUGGCUUACCUAAAGCUUAAUAUUUAUGAAACAAUGAUUCAAUUUAAAUUGUAUUAUAAGUAGCUCUGUUGAAUAAAUUUUUUUUUUGUAAUUUGUA
rnacentral:misc_RNA from 1 species